AACGAACGCUGGCGGCAUGCCUAACACAUGCAAGUCGAACGAGACCUUCGGGUCUAGUGGCGCACGGGUGCGUAAAGCGUUGGAACCUGCCCUUAGGUUCGGAAUAACUCCCCGAAAGGGGUGCUAAUACCGGAUAAUGUCUUCGGACCAAAGUUUUAUCGCCUUUGGAUGGGCCCGCGUUGGAUUAGCUAGUUGGUAGGGUAAAAGCCUACCAAGGCGACGAUCCAUAGCUGGUCUGAGGGAUGAUCAGGCACACUGGGACUGAGACACGGCCCAGACUCCUACGGGAGGCAGCAGUGGGGAAUAUUGGACAAUGGGCGAAAGCCUGAUCCAGCAAUGCCGCGUGAGUGAUGAAGGCCUUAGGGUUGUAAAGCUCUUUUACCCGGGAUGAUAAUGACAGUACCGGGAGAAUAAGCUCCGGCUAACUCCGUG
rnacentral:rRNA from 1 species